AGAUUUUUCCUUCCCCUCAGCAGAGCCUAGAAUAAAGGGGCCAGGCCUCCUCCCUAUGGGAGAGGUGUGAAGAAGGAGGAACCUCACCCAGACUGGCCUGGCUUCACAUUU